rnacentral:tRNA from 1 species
CCUGUAGCUCAGUUGGAUAGAGCAACAGCCUUCUAAGCUGUGGGUCUUGGGUUCGAAUCCCAA